CAGACAAGGUAACUGAGACUCAGAGAGGUCAAGUGAUUUAUCCAAAGCUACACAGCUAGUAAACAGAAUUCUGUACCACCACACCUUCUUCCCAGCCUGAGGUCUGGGGGCCAGAGUCUCCAACCAGAAGGGCAGUGUGAGGCUCCUGCUUCUCAUCUUGAAAGAAGUGACUUUGCCAGGUUGGAACAUGAAGUCCAACGACAAAUUGGACUAAAGCUCAGAUCUCCUGAUACCAGCUAGACGAUCUCCGAGCUGGAGGUGGUCUUUGGGUUUAGGUUUUUGUGAGUUUGUUGUUUGUUUUCCUGUGAAAUCUUUAAAGCACACAAACAACAUAAAGAAUAAUACAAGAACCACCCAUGCGCUCUCUACUGGUAAGAAAUUGCUUCCACUCACAACUAUUCUCCUGAAUUUGGUGUUUAUCAUUUCUAUGUUCUUAUUCAUGCAUUUAUCAUGGACGUGUGGAUCUUUGAACAAUGUAUAGAAUUUCUUUACAUGUGAUUAUAUCUCAAAUAAAUAACAUCACAUUAAUGUAC